AGAAUGUAUGUGAAGCACUCAGUCCAGUGAAGUAGGAAGUGCUCAAUGUCUUUAUUAUUGUGAAUCCAGAAAUUGCUCUGUCUUCCUACAAUGAAACAGAGUGGUGCACAUAACCAGGGCUAACUCACAGGCUGGGGAAGCUAGCAUGUUUUCUGGUGCUCUCUCAGGGGUGUGCUCAUAAAUAUUACAGCUAACAAUCAGCUUUGAACAGGGGAGAGGGUGGGGAGCUUUACUUUGUGAUGUUUGCCAAUUUCCAUGGUGUAAAUACUCCCACCAUGGCUGAUUUUAAGAUACCAACUUGACUUCAGUGAAUGCAGAGCUGGGAAGCAGCUCUCCUGAGCCAAUGUGAGCCAGCUCCAGCAUACCCAAGAGAGUCUCUCCUCCUUUUUUUGCUGCCUCUUUGUUCACUGCUGAAACAAGGAUCUGUUUUCUCUCAGGCAGAGCACCAGGCAUCCCUAUUUGAUGUGUUCUUGCUGAGGUAAGAGUCUAUUUAUGCCUGGGAGAGAGAGGAAACCUACAGUUCUGAAGCCCAAAGCAGUAUUCAGGCCCAACUUACCAGAGUACUCAUAGCAAAGUGUUUGAAAGAAGAAACACUUCCAAAAGAAGCAACCAAGUCUACAAAGGCACAGUUUGAUUCAAAUGGAUCCAACCGAUUAGCAAAUGGAAAAUAACACUGAGGAACAAGUUUUACAUCACAAGCAUAGCAGCUCCAAGCCAUCCCUACAGAAGCUAAAGCUUUAAGUGCCACCCAGAGAAGGGACGUCCAGAAUCUCUGCUUUAUAUUUGCAUAGCUUCACCUACCAAGCCAGUUGCUCUCCACAAAAGAAACACAUGACCUGCACAGAAGCAACAUGGCUAAUGGCACCCUGGGAGCAGUCCUGACAGCCAGCUCUCCAGGGCGGACACGAGGAGCUGCAGAAAACGGUCAGGAUUUAACAGGCAAAUGGCAGAGGUUAAGAACAGCAGUCUGGAGGAUAUCUCUGCAUUUUGGCAAGGGGAGAAAAUAAAGGAGGUGGAGAAAUACACUACUGAAUGCAGCUGGGGAACAGAUUUCUUGGAAACAGCCUACAGGAAUACCCAUCUUAACAUCAGAAGGUGGAUCUAAUUACCACUGAAGGCAUUUGACAAACCUGUAACACAGUUCCUAUGAAUAGUGCACUUCGGAAAAAACUAUGCAAAGAAGAAAAAAAGAAAGGAAAGAAAGAAAAAACUUGAACCUCAUGAGAGUGGAGAGAAUGCAAAGGUAAGAAGGGGAAAAGGAGGUCAGGGAAGCAGAGAGGAACAGGAAAAGAAUAUGGGGCAGAAAUUUGCAGCAUCGUGAACAUCUUAAAUUUACCAUUAAAAUUUAAGAAAUACAUGUCUUUGAAAAAUGUAGGCAAUUCAGAAGUGCACAAGGUAAAACGUGGAAACAUUUUUCACAACCCACACACAACACGUCCCCACUACAGAGGUGCGAGAGGUUAGGGUGAAGCUGGAGGCAGAAGGCUGUGAGCACCUGAGACUAAGACCAGCCUGGACUUAGUUUGCAAACUCUUACACAGGCUUCCUGCCCCUGAAAAUCCUCACCUAUUUCUCAGCAAAUGUAAGACCUAUUGCCAAAAAAUAAAAAUAAAAAAAGUAAAACCCACCUCCCUAUUUUACUCAAUUGGCAAAAACAAAAACAAAAUCUAUAUUUUUAUGCAUGCCUAAAAUGUUAGCAAUGUACCUGUAGCCAAUUUUGAACAAAGCACAUUAAGCUUUGUGAAGUAAACUUAGUAAAAGUAUGUGAAACUAAUAUACAGACGUCACUUUAACAACCAAGGUCAGCUGGGAUGUAGCAGUAAAGACUGAUCCAAUGUUCUCUUAGUUGUAUCUUCUUUAUAUUUCUCUCUCUCUUUUUUUUUUUUUUUUUU